rnacentral:misc_RNA from 1 species
GAUGAAGAACGCAGCGAAAUGCGAUAAGUAGUGUGAAUUGCAAUUCAGUGAAUCAUCGAAUCUUUGAACGCACAUUGCGGCCAUAGGUAUUCCUUUGGCCAUGCCUGUUCGAGCGUCAUUUACACCCUCAAGCCUAGCUUGGUGUUGGGCGCCUGUCCCGCCGUUUUCGCGCGCGGACUCGCCUCAAAGUCAUUGGCGGCGGUCGUGCCGGCCCCCUCGCGCAGCACAUUUGCGCUUCUCGGAGGCCCGGCGGAUCCGCGCUCCAGCAAGACCUUUCACGACUUGACCUCGGAUCAGGUAGGGAUACCCGCUGAACUUAAGCAUAUCAAUAAGCGGAGGA